UGGGGGCCUGCGGAAGGAUCAUUAU
rnacentral:rRNA from 1 species